AUUGAACGCUGGCGGCAUGCCUUACACAUGCAAGUCGAACGGCAGCACGGGAGCAAUCCUGGUGGCGAGUGGCGAACGGGUGAGUAAUACAUCGGAACGUGCCCUGUAGUGGGGGAUAACUAGUCGAAAGACUAGCUAAUACCGCAUACGACCUGAGGGUGAAAGUGGGGGACCGCAAGGCCUCAUGCUAUAGGAGCGGCCGAUGUCUGAUUAGCUAGUUGGUGGGGUAAAGGCCUACCAAGGCGACGGUCAGUAGCUGGUCUGAGAGGACGAUCAGCCACACUGGGACUGAGACACGGCCCAGACUCCUACGGGAGGCAGCAGUGGGGAAUUUUGGACAAUGGGGGCAACCCUGAUCCAGCAAUGUCGCGUGUGUGAAGAAGGCCUUCGGGUUGUAAAGCACUUUUGUCCGGAAAGAAAUCGCUUCGGUUAAUACCUGGAGUGGAUGACGGUACCGGAAGAAUAAGGACCGGCUAACUACGUGCCAGCAGCCGCAGUAAGAC
rnacentral:rRNA from 1 species